GUUUAAAUGCCCAUCGAUUUGUGCUCCUCCAGGCAGAAGGGAGUCAUAUUUUUUUUUCCAUUUGUGAAGGCUUAUAGGUAUGGAACAGAGGUGACAGGAGAAUCUACAUGACCUGUCUGAGAGGAAACACCCAGACAGGUCAAAGAAAUCUCAGAAAUUAAGAUGAAGGAGAUAUGCUGAGAGGUUUAGACUAAAAGUGCAGGACAGCUCUUCUAUGGGAACACAAAGAUGAUCCAGUCCCCAACAGAAGCCAGAUCACUGGAUGGAUGAUGACGUAAGUGACAAUUCAGACAAAGUAUUACCAAACCACAAUGUGUUGUUUUCCCUAUUACUGAUUUUUUUUGGGUGUGUGUGCUUGUUUUUGUAAUACAGGUAAUUGAUGCAUACAUUCAUAUCCUUGCUGAAAAACAGCAGGCAAAUGCUGGAUGUAAAACUAUAUUGUUCUCAAUGCAUGUGUACUUAAUACACUAUACACUCAAUACACACGAACUAACACACACUUAAUUUUUUUUAACAGGGAUCCAUUCAUCAGCUCUGUGCUGUGGUAGCUGGAAGUUUGUUUUCCAGAAGAUUUCAGCCUCUUAGAAAAGCAGUCUAUUUGUUUGUUUUUAUCUAGCCAUAUCACCUAACACCAGUAACCUGAAUUAACAAUAAUUUGAUAUAAAACCCAUUCUUCAGAUGAAAUUUCCAGUGUUAAAAAGAUGGAUUUGUCCUGUAAAUGUAGGUGCUCACUGGAUUUUAGUGGUUUUCUACUAUUUUCCUCAGACCUAUUUCUGAGAUGUGUGUGUGUGUGUAUAUAUAUAUAUAUAU